UACGUAGGGGGCAAGCGUUGUCCGGAAUCAUUGGGCGUAAAGAGCGUGUAGGCGGCCCGGUAAGUCCGCUGUGAAAGUCCAGGGCUCAACCCUGGGGUGCCGGUGGAUACUGUCGGGCUCGAGUCCGGAAGAGGAGUGUGGAAUUCCUGGUGUAGCGGUGAAAUGCGUAGAUAUCAGGAAGAACACCCGUGGCUAAGGCGGCUCUCUAGUACGGUACUGACGCUGAGACGCGAAAGCGUGGGGAGCGAACAGG
rnacentral:rRNA from 1 species